rnacentral:rRNA from 1 species
CCAGACUCCUACGGGAGGCAGCAGUGGGGAAUAUUGGGCAAUGGGCGCAAGCCUGACCCAGCAGCGCCGCGUGAAGGAAGAAGGCUUUCGGGUUGUAAACUUCUUUUCUGGGGGACGAAGAAAGUGACGGUACCCCAGGAAUAAGCCACGGCUAACUACGUGCCAGCAGCCGCGGUAAUACGUAGGUGGCAAGCGUUAUCCGGAUUUAUUGGGUGUAAAGGGCGUGUAGGCGGGACUGCAAGUCAGAUGUGAAAACCAUGGGCUCAACCCAUGGCCUGCAUUUGAAACUGUAGUUCUUGAGUGUUGGAGAGGCAGGCGGAAUUCCGUGUGUAGCGGUGAAAUGCGUAGAUAUACGGAGGAACACCAGUGGCGAAGGCGGUCAACUGGACAGCAACUGACGCUGAGGCGCGAAAGCGUGGGGAGCAAACAGGAUUAGAUACCCCCGUA